CAUUCCCGUAGGAGCGGAAGUGACGAAAUAGAGAAAAUCGAUAUAUCACCAAUAUAAACCCCAAAAUAUAAAUACUGUUUCCAGUCUAUAAAUUAGUUACAGUGUCGGAGUGUAAGAUAAACGACGGAGACAUAUCCACUUUGCAACUAUUUCAACAGGUGGCCUUGCUGGGCUGGCUUCGGUCAGACAGUGCGGAGAGCAAAGAUCUGCUCACUACGCUCACUGGAGCCCGGGUGAUGCAUGCAGUCCACAACCGACUCACAAGACGGAGUCAACUGGAUGCCUAUAAGAGGGAGUGCAUUUUGAGCGUGGCAGACUAUGUGAGGAGACACCCUCGUGCCUCUCAGCAAGAGCUAAGUGCUGAAGUUGAAAAACACGUCAAGCUGUUUGCUGCACGUGUACAGAUGCUGGACUCGACACCUCUCUUCUAACCUUUUACCAUUAUACUCAACACUCAAAGAUACUCAUUCCCGAGUAUUUUUUUUUUGUAAUUUAUACUGUACAUUUA